rnacentral:lncRNA from 10 species
AAUACUGGCAUCCACCCUGGACUAUUUUUCCAAUUGGAAGAAAUAGUAAGUGACCACUCCAGAAACAUUUAAAUGCAUUGUGAAGGUUAAUUACCUCUCAAGUUGCUCGUCUCAAGCCACUUCUUUACGAUAUGUGAGUUGCAUGAAGGAGCAGACUGCCAUGUUCAUUGUUCUCCAUGGUGACUAGCUCCCUGUUUGGCACAAUGUAGCUACUCAAUAGAUGUUUGUUGAAUGAAUAAGUGAUCCAGGCAAAUUGAAAGUUUCCAGGCAGAGGAUCAGUUAAAAUCCAAAGCUGCCUUCAGUAAAGUGGUGAGUCCAGAACACUAUUCCAUCUGGCUACUUCCUGCUCCAAAUGACUGAGUUCUUCAAAAUGUGCAAUGUGCUGAGAAUUGGGGAGCCAAGACUGGGAUGUUGGUGAGGUGCUAUCUAGACCUGAAGUAGCGGGAAGAGCAGAAAGGAUGGGGCAGCCAUCUCUGACUUGGAUGCUGAUGGUGGUGGUGGCCUCUUGGUUCAUCACAACUGCAGCCACUGACACCUCAGAAGCAA